rnacentral:rRNA from 1 species
AUUGAACGCUGGCGGCAGGCCUAACACAUGCAAGUCGAGCGUGAAAGUCCUUCGGGAUGAGUAAAGCGGCGGACGGGUGAGUAACGCGUAGGAAUCUACCUAAUAGUGGGGGAUAACGUUUCGAAAGGAACGCUAAUACCGCAUACGUUCUGAGGAAGAAAGCAGGGGAUCGCAAGACCUUGCGCUAUUAGAUGAGCCUGCGUCCGAUUAGCUAGUUGGUGGGGUAAAGGCCUACCAAGGCGACGAUCGGUAACUGGUCUGAGAGGAUGAUCAGUCACACUGGAACUGAGACACGGUCCAGACUCCUACGGAGGCAGCAGUGGGGAAUAUUGGACAAUGGGCGAAAGCCUGAUCCAGCAAUGCCGCGUGCAGGAAGAAGGCCUUCUGGGUUGUAAACUGCUUUUAUCUGGGGAUAAAAAGGCCUUGCGAGGCAAACUGAAGGUACCAGAUGAAUAAGCCACGGCUAACUACGUGCCAGCAGCCGCGGUAA